AGGCUGCUCACCGUCAUCAUCUUCGAGAGGGUAGCAAGGAGAAGCACCAUUCUGGCAAUCCAGGUAUCCCAGCUUGUACGCAUUAGCAGCCAUCUCUUCCUUGGAUGCCUCCGUGGCUUCCACAUGGGUAUCAAACUUGACCAGCAGUUUGUCACGAUCCUGGGCCAAAGCAGCAUGCUUACGUUCGAGGUAGAAGUAGGCUUCCUUGCGUUCGAGCAGGGCAGCCAUAAGAGACUUGAGUUCAC
rnacentral:lncRNA from 1 species